UACGAAGGGGGCUAGCGUUGUUCGGAAUUACUGGGCGUAAAGGGCGCGUAGGCGGCUUUGCAAGCCGGAUGUGAAAUCCCCGGGCUUAACCUGGGAACUGCAUUCGGGACUGCAUUGCUAGAGUAUGGGAGAGGGAAGUGGAAUUUCAGGUGUAGCGGUGAAAUGCGUAGAUAUCUGAAGGAACAUCAGUGGCGAAAGCGACUUCCUGGACCAAUACUGACGCUCAUGUGCGAAAGCGUGGGGAGCAAACAGG
rnacentral:rRNA from 1 species